ensembl:snoRNA Y43F4B.11 ncRNA
UGAAUUGACGAGUUGAAUUGGGUUAGAGCAGGUGAUGCUCGAUGGAAAUGAUCACAAAUUAAAAGCUGAUCACAG